rnacentral:rRNA from 1 species
GACGAACGCUGGCGGCGUGCUUAACACAUGCAAGUCGAACGAAGUGGCGGACGGGUGAGUAACGCGUAAUCAACCUGCUCUUCAGAGGGGCUCAACAGUUGGAAACGACUCCUAAUACCGCAAACAGAAGGAGGGGCUUGCGUCUGAUUAGCUGGUUGGGGGGGUAACGGCCAACCAAGGCGAUGAUCAGUAGCGGGGCUGAGAGGGUGAACGGCCAAACUGGGACUGGAGCACGGCCCAGAAUCCUACGGGAGGGAACCGGGGGGAAUCUUCCGCAAAGGACGAAAGGCUGACGGAGCAACGCCGCGGGGGUGAUGACGGCCUUCGGGGUGGGAAACUCUGUUAAUCGGGACGCGGUACCGGAAUAGAAAGCCACGGCUAACUACGUGCCAGCAGCCGCGGUAAUAC